rnacentral:rRNA from 1 species
GAUGAACGCUGGCGGCGUGCCUAAUACAUGCAAGUCGAGCGAACAGACGAGGAGCUUGCUCCUCUGACGUUAGCGGCGGACGGGUGAGUAACACGUGGAUAACCUACCUAUAAGACUGGGAUAACUUCGGGAAACCGGAGCUAAUACCGGAUAACAUGUUGAACCGCAUGGUUCAACAGAGAAAGACGGUCUUGCUGUCACUUAUAGAUGGAUCCGCGCCGCAUUAGCUAGUUGGUAAGGUAACGGCUUACCAAGGCAACGAUGCGUAGCCGACCUGAGAGGGUGAUCGGCCACACUGGAACUGAGACACGGUCCAGACUCCUACGGGAGGCAGCAGUAGGGAAUCUUCCGCAAUGGGCGAAAGCCUGACGGAGCAACGCCGCGUGAGUGAAGAAGGUCUUCGGAUCGUAAAACUCUGUUAUUAGGGAAGAACAAAUGUGUAAGUAACUAUGCACGUCUUGACGGUACCUAAUCAGAAAGCCACGGCUAACUACGUG